CACGUAGGGCGCGAGCGUUGUCCGGAAUUAUUGGGCGUAAAGAGCUCGUAGGCGGCCUGUUGCGUCCGCUGUGAAAGCCCGGGGCUUAACCCCGGGUCGGCAGUGGAUACGGGCAGGCUAGAGGUAGGUAGGGGAGAAUGGAAUUCCCGGUGUAGCGGUGAAAUGCGCAGAUAUCGGGAGGAACACCGGUGGCGAAGGCGGUUCUCUGGGCUGACACUGACGCUCAUGCACGAAAGCGUGGGGAGC
rnacentral:rRNA from 1 species